UGACCUGUGGUGUAAUUGGCAACACGACAGAUUCUGACUCUGUUAUUCCAGGUUCGAGUCCUGGCAGGUCAA
rnacentral:tRNA from 1 species